CAGUAUUUACCGCAUGGUAGAUAUUUGAAAGGAGCAAUUGCUUCACUAUGAGAUGGACCUGCGUUGUAUUAGCUAGUUGGUGAGGUAACGGCUCACCAAGGCUUCGAUACAUAGCCGACCUGAGAGGGUGAUCGGCCACACUGGGACUGAGACACGGCCCAGACUCCUACGGGAGGCAGCAGUAGGGAAUCUUCGGCGAAUGGGGGCGACCCUGACCGAGCAACGCCGCGUGAGUGAAAGAAGGUUUUCGGAUCGUAAAGCUCUGUUGUAAGAGAAGAACUGUGAGAAAGAGUGGAAAAGUUUCUCACUUGACGGUUUCUUAC
rnacentral:rRNA from 1 species